rnacentral:rRNA from 1 species
CCGCGGUAACACGUAGGAGGCAAGCGUUAUUCGGAUUUACUGGGUGUAAAGCGCGUGUAGGCGGUUCGGAAAGUUGGAUGUGAAAGCUCCCGGCUUAACUGGGAGAGGCCGUUCAAAACUUCCGGACUAGGGAUUGGUAGAGGAAGAUGGAAUUCCGAGUGUAGUGGUGAAAUGCGCAGAUAUUCGGAGGAACACCAGUGGCGAAAGCGAUCUUCUAGACCAAAACUGACGCUCAGACGCGAAAGCUAGGGUAGCAAACGG